rnacentral:lncRNA from 1 species
CCAACAGCCUCGCUGAUGGAUACAGCACUGGAACUGGUUUGGCAGCUGAAAUCAUUGGUACCUUUGUCCUUGUCUACACUGUUUUCUCUGCAACUGAUCCCAAGAGGAAUGCAAGAGAUUCUCAUAUCCCUGUAUGUGUUCAAUAGCUGCAAAUUUCGUAAUGAUUGCUCAAUUUCUUAAGUAUGUUCUUAGGUACUAAUUUUUCCAUAUUCUAAUUUAAGGUCUUGGCACCACUUCCUAUUGGAUUUGCUGUGUUCAUGGUUCACUUGGCAACUAUUCCAAUCACCGGCACCGGUAUCAACCCUGCUCGUAGCUUUGGGGCCGCUGUUAUCUACAACCAGGACAAGCCAUGGGAUGAUCAUGUAUGAACCUUAAAUUUUGACCAUAUAUUCUAGUUUCCCUUUGUUUUAUGUGACACCCUUUUGAAAAAAUUUUGAUGCUUAUGCAACCAUUUGUACUGUUUUGAAAUGUUGCAGUGGAUCUUCUGGGUUGGACCAUUUAUUGGUGCAGCCAUUGCUGCAAUCUAUCACCAGUUUAUCCUGAGGGCAGCUGCUGUUAAAGCUCUUGGAUCCUUCAGGAGCAGCUCUGCCAUGUAAUUAAGCAAAUCAUUCUCCAGC